rnacentral:rRNA from 1 species
UACGGGGGGAGCAAGCGUUGUUCGGAUUUACUGGGCGUAAAGGGCGCGUAGGCGGCCACCGCAAGUCGGUUGUGAAAUCUCCGGGCUUAACCCGGAAAGGUCAACCGAUACUGCGGGGCUAGAGUGCAGAAGGGGCAACUGGAAUUCUCGGUGUAGCGGUGAAAUGCGUAGAUAUCGAGAGGAACACCUGCGGCGAAGGCGGGUUGCUGGGCUGACACUGACGCUGAUGCGCGAAAGCCAGGGGAGCGAACGGG